AGUGCCAAGGCUAACAGUCAAUGACUCUCACUGUGAGAUGGAUAUCAAGUCAUCAGAUAAUUUAAUGUUGCCUACUCAGAUGGAGAUGGACCUGCCCCUCACCCCCUCACCCACUCUCCCAAGCCCAGCUUGACCCAGCUCAGUCUGGUCUCCUCCCAUCUCCCAGCAGAGCAGAUCUCUCCAGUCUACAGACAUUAUUUAGUGUCCGAGAAAGAUCAGGAAGAGAUGGAGGACAGAGUAGCACCCUCACUUUCUACUGGGCUUUCUUUUAGCAGGUAAGAAGAGCGUAGUCCUGUAGUUGUAUGAAGUGUUUGACAUAACAAGACUAAUCACAAAUUAGAAUAUGCACUUACCAGUUCACUGUUACCUAUGUUUCCUGUCACACUUGUCCUUUUCCUGCAUUCAUACUGCAUUUUGCACAGUGCAUUCUUAGCGGCAUUGAAUUACUAAAAAGCCAUAUUCUUCUCUUUGCUAAAUGCUAACAGAGCCCCAGAAGUCGUAAUCAUUUGUGCAGUUCCAGCCUUUGACUGAAGCCUUGAAGUUAUUACUGAUUGUUCGGGACAACUUUGUGACACUCAAUGAAGGAACAAGCUCACCAGGACUGACAGGGAUGAAUGAGAGUAUGACAAGCUCAGAGCAACCCCACAUUAUGGAGACAUUGAGCAGUAAGAUAGAGGACUUCACACCACUAUCACCCUGCCAGAUGGACAGAGUGUGACUGAGAUAUAAAACCUAUUGUCCCUGGCCUCCCGAGUGGCGCAGUGAUCUAAAGCAUUGCAUCACAGUGAUAGAGUGUCACUACAGACCCGGGUUUGAUCCCGGGCUGUAUCACAACCGGCCGUGAUCGGGAGUCCCAUA
rnacentral:lncRNA from 8 species